rnacentral:rRNA from 1 species
CGGCAGACGGGUGAGUAACGCGUGGGAACAUACCUUUGGUUCGGAACAACACAGGGAAACUUGUGCUAAUACCGGAUAAGCCCUUACGGGGAAAGAUUUAUCGCCGAAAGAUUGGCCCGCGUCUGAUUAGCUAGUUGGUGAGGUAAUGGCUCACCAAGGCGACGAUCAGUAGCUGGUCUGAGAGGAUGAUCAGCCACAUUGGGACUGAGACACGGCCCAA